GCCCGGUUAGCUCAAUCGGUAGAGCGUGAGACUCUUAAUCUCAAGGGUAAGAGAUCAAAACACGUUACACCUCA